CACAAUAGUUUAGGCCAGUACUCUAGCAGUUUUAGUCAUCUAUUGAGUGUUCCCAAAGGAAUAAUCCUGGGACCUUUACCGUUCACUGUACAUGAAUGAUUUUUUUUUAGUUAUAUUGUCUUGCCUUUUCCAGAAACCCAAGCCCCAGUAGUUCAGGCUAGUACUCCAGCAGUAGCAGUCAUCCCUUAAGUGUUCCCCAAGGAAUAAUCCUUGGGCCAUUGCUAUGCUUUUUGUACAUGAAUGAUCAGUCAUAUUAUCUCGCCAUUCUCAGAAUCCCAAGUCUUUAGGCCAACAAUAGCAGUAGUAGUAGCAGUAAAUUAUGGAGUGUUCCCCAAGGAAUAACCCUUUGGCCAUUGCUGACCUUUUUGUACAAUUCAUGUAUAAGUAAAAUUUAAGAUAUUAUGUUGCCAAUUCCAGAAACCCCAGCCACAGUAGUUCAGGCCAAUACUCCAGCAGUAGCAGUCUUCCCGAGACCUGUGCCAGUGGCGACACAGUAACCACGGAGACGGCGGGGGUCACGCCCAAGGCUCCUGUGCGCAGGGUAGGUGGUGACCGGCUGCUGUUGACAGUGUGCAGACAUCAACACGACAUUAAGCAUAAGGAGGCAAAUCAGCAAAGAAGAGUGGACGACACCAGAGUGGACGCAGAUGACGUCGUCAACCAGAUCCUGGAAUCGCAGGACUUCACUGCAGACAUGAGUACCGAAGAUGAUGAAGGUUUAAGACUGUUUGUGGCCAAGGAUGGGACAACAGCACUGAGCAGCCAAGAACUCAAGAACAGGAUAUCGGCUGGUGCUUUUGAAGCAGUUAUCUUUGAGAACAGAUAGUUUCCUGACAGAUCUGAAGACUACAGAGAGGCGAGACAAGCAGGCUACAGAAAGAGAAUAAUUUUUCUGCAGUGAUUUUGACUCCCAGUUCAUACAUAUGGGAGAAAGAAAAUGCAAAUGAGGUGUCACUAAAGCAAAGGGUUAUGGGAAAUAUGUGGCUGUGCCAUUGAAAAUGAAGUUACAUUUGAAAGAUGAUUUGACAAGUUGGUAUAUUUUGAUAAGUGUGUACAAAUAAAUCAAUAAGGUUUGUAAAAUAGGAGCUUGCAAGAACGUUGUUGUAUGGAAGUUCUGGUGGAAUAAGUAGAAAAAGAAAGAAACUUGCAAAAUGUAUGGAGGAGAAAGAAUAAUUGUUUUUGUGCCAGACUUUUUUUUUCAAGGUGCCCGUCAUUUAUGAACUGCUAAAUCAUGUAUUUUAUGGAACUGCCAUCACUACUGUAACAUGCCGCCAAGUUGUAAUACUUUACUAAUACGGCAUACAUGUAUUUUAGUAUGGAAACAUUGUACAUAAUGAUAGCACUGUAAAACUUGUAUAAUCAGGAAAAACAGUGGAAUUAAGUGUGAUGUCUGAGUAUCUUUCUAUCCAAUGGGUUAGCAUGAUGUUUAUCUUACAAAUUAAAUGACUCUUUUCUGUGUCCAAACUAGUUUUCAUCCGUGGCUUUAAUUUUGUAUGUGACAACAUCAAAAAUUGCCCUUAACAAAAGGAUUGCACAUUUUCCUCUUUUUUUUUCAUUAUAAGUCAAUAUUUCUAGAUUUAAUCACAAAAUGAUAUUUCUCCUAAAACGAUCCACCUGUAAGCUGUUAACUUCAUUUUACUGUUUUUGUGGUAAUCACAGCUUGACGGAUUUUAAAGGAAUGGGUACGAUAGAACUGUUACAAUAGUUUAUGAUUGACACUAAAUUACCAGUAAACAUUUCAUAUUCAAUAUAGGAUAUGAAGAUAUAAAACAACUUGGUUAUUUUAUGCUGCACAUUGGAUACAAAGAUGCUCAGUUUGCAGUACAUGCUGUGAACAGAAUACAGUACGUGAUACCUGGCAUGUUUUAGAUAGGAACUAAUCUGAGUGUUAUUACUUCUGUGUUAGAGAGGUUAGUGCCAACAUCUACUAGGUAGUUACAACAUGAUGAGGACACACAGUACACAAAUUGAAGGGCAUUCUAAUGAAGUCACUUGGUUCUCUAUAUCUUAAAGUUGCUGAAGAAGACUGUGAACCAGCCUAUAAUAUCUUCUUUGUAGCUGGUUUGUAUUGAGUUACUGUUAGCCUGUCUACCAGCCGUCUUAGGGCCUACUUUCUGGAACAAUGUUGUGACUUGGCCAAGCUUAGUUGGGAUUAACUGCUACAAAACUAUGCUAGAUUACUACAAAAUAAAACUAAAAAGUAGUUUCAGCCAAAAAAAGAUGUUGUUUUUAUUCACAGCUAUAUAAUGUGUUUCAUUUGAGAUUUUUUUUUUUUUUCAAACUUUACUUUUUGGUUCUUUCUUUGCGUAGCCCGAUUAUCAUUGAAAAUGAUAGUAUAAUACUUUCUGAUUUGGUUUCUGAUUUAAAACCUGUGAGGUAAUGAUAAUAGCACUUAAAAUUUUUGUGAAUUAUUUUUUGUCCUUUUUUGUUGGUUUUACUAUUAAACGAGAACCAAGGGGCUGCAUUUGGUUUUUCCUUGUUAGUCAAUUUCUCAAUCAACUUUUGCCUGAAAGCUAUAGGAUUUGUAGUUGCAAUAAUUCUACUUAGAGAUGUGGAAAAAAAUUACAACUACAACAGCACAACCAAAACUUCAAGCAUCUUUUAAAAGAAGUGAAGUGUGUACAAGUGUGUUCUCAUCAAGAAUUAACAACGGAACAUAACUCAUUUGGGGAGUAGAGUUUGUAACUAGUAACCAAGUGUUUGUAAUGUUUUAUAUUUCCUUCUACAAUUUGAUGCUUUUUUGGUGGAAGUUUUUAUAUAACCUACAGAACUUCCAAACGACAAUAAUAUUUCAACACGUUGUAUACAUUGGAUAUGAUUAUAUAUAAUACUGUAAAUGAUGACAGUGUGCUAGCCACAUUGUAUACUGGAGUGAUGAUAUGACUUAAUUUUUUUGUCCGAAUGAUGAUAUGUAAUUAUGAUACUAAUGUUAAUGUAUUAAUCAUGCUAUAGUGAAGUUAGAAUCGGCCCGUUUUGUGUAACACGUUAUGAUAUGUCUACCCGCUGGCAGGGGUUUUGUAUUUAGUGCUGCGCAAAUCUUGGUUGCCAUAAAAGAAGACAUUUGCAACAACUGGGCUCACCCCUUGGGCCUCGCCAAAAAUAUGUUUCAUUCACUACAGUAUGUAGAAAAUUGUGCUUGCCUUUACUACCUUGUAUAAUGGAUUCUUUGCAAAGAUGAGUUUUGGGGAUCAUUUUCGACAACAAAAAAGACGAUGUAUGACUUGUAGAUUUCUUGACGCAGUUACAUUGUAAGCUUUGUGAUAGACUGAGUUUGCCAUGAUUUUGAAAAAAAGCCAAGUUUUCUACACUAAGUCUUAUAGUACUACCAGGUGGCCACAGACUUCUUGUGUAAUGUUAUAUACAUGUACAAGUAGUUAUCAAUGACUGUAACCAUCAAGAAGAACCUAAUUUUUUUUUGUAUUCUUGGUUUUGUGGAGAUAAAGUUUGCAGGUAGUACUAAAA